rnacentral:rRNA from 1 species
UACGUAGGUGGCAAGCGUUGUCCGGAAUUAUUGGGCGUAAAGCGCGCGCAGGCGGCUUCUUAAGUCUGAUGUGAAAGCCCACGGCUCAACCGUGGAGGGUCAUUGGAAACUGGGGAGCUUGAGUGCAGAAGAGGAGAGUGGAAUUCCAUGUGUAGCGGUGAAAUGCGUAGAUAUAUGGAGGAACACCAGUGGCGAAGGCGGCUUUCUGGUCUGUAACUGACGCUGAGGCGCGAAAGCGUGGGGAGCAAACAGG